GAUGAACGCUGGCGGCGUGCCUAAUACAUGCAAGUCGAGCGAACGGACGAGAAGCUUGCUUCUCUGAUGUUAGCGGCGGACGGGUGAGUAACACGUGGAUAACCUACCUAUAAGACUGGGAUAACUUCGGGAAACCGGAGCUAAUACCGGAUAAUAUUUUGAACCGCAUGGUUCAAAAGUGAAAGACGGUCUUGCUGUCACUUAUAGAUGGAUCCGCGCUGCAUUAGCUAGUUGGUAAGGUAACGGCUUACCAAGGCAACGAUGCAUAGCCGACCUGAGAGGGUGAUCGGCCACACUGGAACUGAGCCACGGCCCAGACUCCUACGGGAGGCAGCAGUAGGGAAUCUUCCGAAAUGGGCGAAAGCCUGACGGAGCAACGCAGCGUGAGUGAUGAAGGUCUGCGGAUCGUAAAACUCUGUUAUUAGGGAAGAACAUAUGUGUAAGUAACUGUGCACAUCUUGACGGUACCUAAUCAGAAAGCCACGGCUAACUACGU
rnacentral:rRNA from 1 species